AUUGAACGCUGGCGGCAGGCCUAACACAUGCAAGUCGAACGAGAGGCGGACGGGUGAGUAAUGUCUGGGAAACUGCCCGAUGGAGGGGGAUAACUACUGGAAACGGUAGCUAAUACCGCAUACCAUCUGAUGUGCCCAGGUGGGAUUUGCUAGUAGGUGGGGUAACGGCUCACCUAGGCGACGAUCCCUAGCUGGUCUGAGAGGUUGACCAGCCACACUGGAACGGAGACAGUGUCCAGACUCCUGCGGGAGGCAGCAGUGGGGAAUAUUGGACAAUGGGCGCAAGCCUGAUGCAGCCAUGCCGGGUGUAUGAAGAAGGCCUUCGGGGUGUAAAGUACUUUCAGCGAGGAGGCGUUACUCGCAGAAGAAGCACCGGCUAACUCCGUGCCAGCAGCCGCGGUAAUAC
rnacentral:rRNA from 1 species